AUUACACAGCUCUGCAGGUUGUUAUUUGGACGUUGCGGAGGAGAACGCGAAGCUAAGAAGGGUAAUUAGUCACCCAGGGGCAAGUCUGAUGACGUUGUUAAGUGAUUCUUUACUCAUUAAUUUUCGCCCUCUCGCUUCGGGGCGAAAACCUACCGUUUCAACUGUAUUGCUCUCAGUCGCUGCGGGUACUGCGUACGUGAUAAUUUCGGACAACGUCUGCGUUCUUCGGAGCAAGGUGGAGUUUUGGGCGGCGGGAAAUGUCGGAAGUCCCAAGCCGCCACCGACGGGUCGACCAAGUAUUUGCUGAACGCCAACAUCGAUCCUACAGGGACCGCCGUAAGCCGAUUUCCAUUCGAGAAGGCGGAAGGUUACGCGUCCUCUAAGGACCGUCGUCCAGGUUCAACCUGCUGAACCUCCUCUCGAGUGGCACAUGCAUGCACGCGUCUUACACGUGUAAAGUCCUCGUAUGUGUGGGCAUAUUCGUAGCCUCCAGAGUCAGGCUCCAGCUCCUCGGAUGUCUACGAGCUUACAAAUGGCUUGUGGUACCGACACCCUAAUUUAACUUCAACUCCACUCCUUCGCGACACUUUACGGCUCGUAAAGUUGGCCCUGGUGACCGAUGAAGACCGCAACCAUGACGCGGAUGUUUUACUUCUGAUCAAGAUACUGCGGUAAACUUAAUGCUCGACGAUUUCGGUUGAUCAAGGAUUGAGAAAAAAUAAUGUAUAUAUACAUGUGCACGGGAUGUCCCAAUUUAAAAAACGCAUUGCGGUUUCAACCGACCGAAUGGUUCAAUUGGAA